rnacentral:rRNA from 1 species
UACGGAGGUGGCAAGCGUUGUUCGGAAUUACUGGGCGUAAAGGGCGUGUAGGCGGCGUGGUAAGUCAGAUGUGAAAGCCCUGGGCUUAACUCAGGAAGUGCAUUUGAAACUGCCAUGCUUGAGUAUGGGAGAGGAGAGUGGAAUUCCCAGUGUAGAGGUGAAAUUCGUAGAUAUUGGGAGGAACACCCGUGGCGAAGGCGACUCUCUGGACCAAUACUGACGCUGAAGCGCGAAAGCGUGGGGAGCAAACAGG